UACAGAGGUCUCAAGCGUUGUUCGGAUUCAUUGGGCGUAAAGGGUGCGUAGGCGGCGCGGUAAGUCGGGUGUGAAAUCUUGGAGCUUAACUCCGAAACUGCAUUCGAUACUGCCGUGCUUGAGGACUGGAGAGGAGACUGGAAUUUACGGUGUAGCGGUGAAAUGCGUAGAUAUCGGGAGGAACACCAAUGGCGAAGGCAGCUCGCUGGGACGGUACUGACGCUGAGGCGCGAAAGCGUGGGGAGCAAACAGG
rnacentral:rRNA from 1 species